rnacentral:rRNA from 1 species
GGGAACUGAAACAUCUAAGUACCCCGAGGAAAAGAAAUCAACCGAGAUUCCCCCAGUAGCGGCGAGCGAACGGGGAGGAGCCCAGAGCCUGAAUCAGUGUGUGUGUUAGUGGAAGCGUCUGGAAAGGCGCGCGAUACAGGGUGACAGCCCCGUACACAAAAAUGCACAUACUGUGAGCUCGAUGAGUAGGGCGGGACACGUGGUAUCCUGUCUGAAUAUGGGGGGACCAUCCUCCAAGGCUAAAUACUCCUGACUGACCGAUAGUGAACCAGUACCGUGAGGGAAAGGCGAAAAGAACCCCGGCGAGGGGAGUGAAAAAGAACCUGAAACCGUGUACGUACAAGCAGUGGGAGCCUCUUAAUGGGGUGACUGCGUACCUUUUGUAUAAUGGGUCAGCGACUUAUAUUCUGUAGCAAGGUUAACCGAAUAGGGGAGCCGAAGGGAAACCGAGUCUUAACUGGGCGUUAAGUUGCAGGGUAUAGACCCGAAACCCGGUGAUCUAGCCAUGGGCAGGUUGAAGGUUGGGUAACACUAACUGGAGGACCGAACCGACUAAUGUUGAAAAAUUAGCGGAUGACUUGUGGCUGGGGGUGAAAGGCCAAUCAAACCGGGAGAUAGCUGGUUCUCCCCGAAAGCUAUUUAGGUAGCGCCUCGUGAAUUCAUCUCCGGGGGUAGAGCACUGUUUCGGCAAGGGGGUCAUCCCGACUUACCAACCCGAUGCAAACUGCGAAUACCGGAGAAUGUUAUCACGGGAGACACACGGCGGGUGCUAACGUCCGUCGUGAAGAGGGAAACAACCCAGACCGCCAGCUAAGGUCCCAAAGUCAUGGUUAAGUGGGAAACGAUGUGGGAAGGCCCAGACAGCCAGGAUGUUGGCUUAGAAGCAGCCAUCAUUUAAAGAAAGCGUAAUAGCUCACUGGUCGAGUCGGCCUGCGCGGAAGAUGUAACGGGGCUAAACCAUGCACCGAAGCUGCGGCAGCGACACUAUGUGUUGUUGGGUAGGGGAGCG